UACGAAGGGGGCUAGCGUUGUUCGGAUUCACUGGGCGUAAAGGGUGCGUAGGCGGGUCUUUAAGUCAGGGGUGAAAUCCUGGAGCUCAACUCCAGAACUGCCUUUGAUACUGAAGAUCUUGAGUUCGGGAGAGGUGAGUGGAACUGCGAGUGUAGAGGUGAAAUUCGUAGAUAUUCGCAAGAACACCAGUGGCGAAGGCGGCUCACUGGCCCGAUACUGACGCUGAGGCACGAAAGCGUGGGGAGCAAACAGG
rnacentral:rRNA from 1 species